rnacentral:rRNA from 1 species
UACAGAGAGUGCGAACGUUGUUCGGAAUUACUGGGCGUAAAGCGCACGUAGGCGGACUAUUAAGUCAGGGGUGAAAUCCCGGGGCUCAACCCCGGAACUGCCUUUGAUACUGCUAGUCUCGAGUCCGGAAGAGGUGAGUGGAAUUCCGAGUGUAGAGGUGAAAUUCGUAGAUAUUCGGAGGAACACCAGUGGCGAAGGCGGCACUCUGGGCCGGUACUGACGCUGAGGAGCGAAAGCGUGGGGAGCAAACAGG